rnacentral:lncRNA from 1 species
AUGGUCCCCAAGGUCGGGGCGUCCCAUCGCGCGCGGCGCCCGCUGCCCUGGGCGGCGCUGCUGCUCCUAGCUGCGCUGCUGCCCGUCGUCUCCCCGGCGGGGGCUGCUCCAGAAAAGGACGUGCCCAACAAGCCCUUGCGGGUCCGAGUCCGCUCCUCCGACGACCGGCUGUCCGUGGCGUGGAAGGCACCGCGCCUGUCUGGAGCCAAGAGUCCACGCCGAUCCCGGGGCUUCCUUCUGGGCUACGGAGAAAGUGGCCGGAAGAUGAAUUACGUCCCACUGACGAGAGAUGAGCGAACGCAUGAAAUCAAAAAGCUAGCCUCCGAGUCGGUGUACGUGGUCUCUCUGCAGUCCAUGAACUCCCGGGGGCAGAGUCAGCCGGUCUACAGGGCUGCCCUAACGAAGCGGAAGAUUUCAGAAGAGGAUGAACUGGACGUACCUGAAGACAUCAACGUCCGGGUUAUGUCAUCCCAGUCUGUGCUGGUAGCUUGGGUGGAUCCUGUUUUGGAAAAACAGAAGAAAGUUGUUGCAUCAAGACAGUACACCGUGCGCUACCGAGAAAAGGGGGAAUCGGCGAGAUGGGAUUACAAGCAGGCCUCCAACAGACGCGUGCUGGUCGAGAACCUGAGUCCAGACACCAUGUAUGAAUUUGCAGUCCGCAUUUCCCAGGGUGAACGAGACGGCAGGUGGAGUACAUCUGUCUUCCAGAGAACACCGGAGUCUGCUCCUACCUCAGCUCCUGAAAAUUUAAACGUCUGGCCAGUCAAUGGCAAGCCUACAGCUGUCACUGUAGCUUGGGAUGCUCUGCCUGAGACUGACGGGAAAGUGAAAGAGUACAUUCUUUCAUACGCCCCGGCUCUCAAACCAUUUGGAGUGAAGUCCCUCACCUACCCUGGAGAGACGACGUCUGCCCGGGUAGAAGGUCUGCAGCCUGGGGAACGCUAUCUUUUCAAAAUCCGGGCCGCCAACAGGAGAGGACUGGGGCCUCAUUCCAAAGCCUUCAUUGUUGCUCUGCCACCAACCCCUACCAGUGAGUCUGACGUUCAACAGAAAACAGACACGGAAGAUCAGCACAAACCUGAAAAGCCUGAGCCUUCCUCAUCUCCUAAAGCGCCAGCUCCCUCAAAACAUACUCACUUGCCUGUUUCUCCCCAAGGGAGAAAUGUCAAGAGCCCGCUUCUCGACUUGAAGAACAAAAUAUUGGCUAACGGUGGACUGCUCAGAAAAGCCCAGCUUCCCCCCAGGAAGAAUGGAGGUUCGGGUCUUCAGUCCACAGAAGUCACCGACGAAGAGGAGCCGGAUUCCCGCGGGGACCCACCAACCUCGCCCCCGGAGACCCAAGGCCAGAAGUCCCAGCAGAGGCCACCAAGCAGACCUGUCCACCCGUUCCUCGCUGCUGGGAGGACUCCAGUGAGAGCCCGCACGCCCGUGCUGCCGCGAAAGGAAGGCAUGGACCAGCGCGGCUCCUCGCCCACCUCCCACCCUCGUCUGGGGGCGCCCCCCUCCGCAUCUGGUUCUUCUUCUGCCUCCCGUCCACCCCCCGAGAGCAGCGCUCACCGCCUUUCUGGGGGACCCUCCACCAGCCGGCCUUCCAGCUCUACUGACAAUGACUCAGUGGGUCUAGAGGAGGAGGAAACCACCGCGCGCUCCCCGCCGCCCAAGGACGCCCUGUCGGAACACCUGCCUGGCAAGAGCGCAGCGCACGCGCGGCCGGCCCUGUCUUCCGGCCGCCACCCGGCCUGGAGCGCCCUGCGCGACAGAAGCGCGGCGCACCAUGGCACCAGACCAGCCCUGCCCGCCCGGAGGGCGCCCCACUCUGAGGAUAGGGAGGAAGGGUCCAGGGCCUCAGCCCCACCUUCGAGACUUUCUCCAUCUCCUGGGGGGUCAUCUCGGCUCCUGAUCACCGAACCACAGCCUGGGUCUCUGCUCUCCCGGGGCUGGAAGGAUGGUCAGGACAUGCCGGCCGCCAGGUCCAAUGCACCAUCAGGGUCCACCCGGCCAUACUCGAGGACACAGGCCUCUGAGGGAGCAGGUGACUCCGAUGGCGAUGGUGACAGUGAUGCGGAAGAGGGAGGGAGGCCGGCUGCAGCCACGGCCCCAACAUUUAGGUCCCGGCUGCCCGCAGGCCCGCCGGUCUCUGGACACUUCAGUUCGCUCAGAAAUAGACCCUUCGCUGCCCACGGCAGAUAUCCACACAGGUUUGGCAAUGGCCGGGGAGCCCGGUUGCACCCCUCCAGCUCCCCUCCGUCCACCGCAUCCUCCCGGGCUCACCCGGGGGUGGAUUCUCACGCAGCUUCUGACCAUCGGCGUGGCCCCGGAGGCCAAGAAGACAGCGAAGAGGAGGCCGAAGACGAGAAGCCACUUCCUUCCACCGUGGUGAACCAUCACGUGUCUUCCUCCUCUAGGCAGCCGGCCUCCCGGGGCGCGGACCAUCUGAGAAGAGGCCCCCAGAGAGGGGCGAGCCUGCAGCGGAAGGAGCGCCUCCCAGAGAACCCCAAAUCCACGGGCACUUGGGCUGGGGUGCCCCCUCAGGCCAAACCUCCGUCCUCUAAGGCUCAGGAUACGCAGCAGAGCACAGACGCGGGUGCGGAGGGCGGGUCUCCCGAAACGCAGCUGGGCGGCAGGCCGCCUGCGCCACGGUCCCCGCACCACCCGGGGCCCACGGGGCCCCAAAGGAUGGGUGCCGGGUCCGCUGCUCUGGAAAAGUCGCCCUCCUCAGCCGUCCCGGCGUCCCAGCCACAGCCCCACGGCCCACGGAUCAAGGAAGUGGGGCGUCCGCCUUCCAGACCCCAGCCUGCGUUCCCCUCCGAGGCCGGCCGUCUGCACCCCACGUCGCAGGAAAGCUCCUCCUUCUCAGACUCUUACUCGUCCAGAGGCGGACAGUCCUCCCGCGCGGCGUCUCCCCAGAAUCUGGACGACGACAGCGCAGAAGCGAGGACCGGGGGCGUCCGGGCCCCCGCAUACUCGGCGGGUGCCAAGGACGCCACCCCGUCUCUUCCCAAGCACCGCCAGGUGGACGCUCAGGCAGGAAGCGUGGGCGAUGGUCACCUGCGCAGGCCCGCGGGCAGGCCCGGCAGCCUGCACCCCUACGCCCGCACCAGGGUCCCGGGCAGAGCAGGCCCCCAGUGGGUGGGGAGGAAGGACGGGGCGUCCCAGGCCUCGCCAGCCAAAAGGGAGCCCCUGCCGUCCAAAUCGCAGCAGUCGGUGUCAGCCGAGGAGGAUGAAGACGUGAUGUUCUUUAAGGCAGGAAAGGACAAGGACCCGCAGUCUUCCUCUGCUCCGAAGUGGCCCUCCUCCUUCAGCCCGAGGGGCGGCAAACAAGUGGAUGGGACCCUCGCUAAGGGGGAAACGGAGCCCGCUAUUGUGCUGGCGCCCCCCAGGGUGGGCUCCCCGCAUGAUGAGAACGCCACCCCGGUGAAGCGGCCUCUUUCUCCACCUGCGGGCAGCCCCCCGAGAGCCUCGCACCUCCCGCCCAGACAGCCCACUCGCAGCCCCGCCGCCACCCCGAGCCCCGCGGUGGGCACCCCUGCGCCGUCGCGAUUCACCACGCGCGCGCCCGUCCCAUCUGCCCCCACCACCCCGAUGCUCUCCUUGCGCCAGCGGAUGAUGAACGCCAGGUUCCGGAACCCGUUCUCACGCGCGCCGGUGAGACCCCCUUCAAGAGCAGGUUAUAAUGGAAGACCAAAUGGAGAAGGGAGAGUACUUGCUGGUAGUAAUGGAAAACCAAGUGGACAAAGAGUUAUCAAUGGCCCUCAAGGAACAAAGUGGGUCGUGGACCUUGAUCGUGGGUUAGUAUUGAAUGCAGAAGGAAGGUACCUACAAGAUUCACAAGGAAAUCCUCUCCGGAUUAAACUAGGCGGAGAUGGUCGAACCAUUGUGGAUCUGGGAGGGACUCCCGUGGUGAGCCCUGACGGCUUCCCGCUCUUUGGACAGGGGCGCCAUGCCAAACCCUUGGCCAGUGCCCAGGAUAAGCCCAUUUUGAGUCUUGGAGGCAAGCCCCUGGUGGGCUUGGAGGUCAUCAAAACAACCACCCGUGCCCCCAUCACAACCACGAGACCUACCACCACCACCACCCGCCGGCCCACCACGACCCCUCGGCCCACCACCACCACCACUCGCCCAACGACCACCCGAACCACGACCCAGAGAACCACCACCACCACCCCGGAACCCACAACCCCUGUCCCCACCUGUCCCCCCGGGACCCUGGAACAGCAUGACGAAGAUGGCAACCUCAUAAUGGGCUCACGUGGGUUCCCGGAGUGCUACCCUGAGGAAGAUGAGUUCUCGGGGCUGGAGACUGACACGGCAGUGCCCACGGAAGAGGCGUACGUCAUCUAUGAUGAAGAUUAUGAAGUUGAGACCUCGGGGCCGCCGUCCACCACCCAGCCCUCCACCACCACCACCACCACCACCACCACCACCACCACCACCACGACGCCUGCCGUCAUCCCGCCUGAAGGCUCCAUCAGUUCCUACCCCGAAGAAGAAUUCGAUCUGGCUGGGAAGAAACGUUUUGUUGCUCCUUAUGUGACGUACCUAAAUAAAGACCCGUCCGCCCCAUGCUCUCUGACUGAUGCUCUAGAUCACUUCCAAGUGGAGAGCUUGGAUGAAAUCAUUCCAAAUGACCUGAAGAAGAGUGACACGCCUCCUCAGCAUGUCCCCCGCAACAUCACUGUGGUCGCGGUGGAAGGCUGCCACUCAUUUGUCAUUGUGGACUGGGACAAAGCCGCCCCAGGGGAUGUGAUAACAGGUUACUUGGUUUACAGCGCGUCCUAUGAAGACUUCAUCAGGAACAAGUGGUCCACCCAGGCUUCAUCAGUGACUCACCUGCCCAUUGAGAACCUGAAGCCCAACACGAGGUAUUAUUUUAAAGUUCAAGCCAAAAAUCCUCACGGCUAUGGACCUGUCAGCUCUUCAGUCUCAUUUGUUACAGAAUCAGAUAAUCCUCUUCUUGUCGUGAGGCCACCAGGUGGCGAGCCCAUCUGGAUCCCGUUUGCUUUCAAACAUGACCCUGGCUACACGGACUGCCACGGCCGACAGUAUGUGAAGCGGACUUGGUACAGGAAGUUUGUGGGAGUCGUUCUUUGCAACUCACUGCGGUAUAAGAUCUACCUCAGUGACAACCUGAAAGAUACAUUCUACAGCAUUGGGGACAGUUGGGGAAGAGGUGAAGACCACUGUCAAUUUGUGGAUUCACACCUUGAUGGAAGAACAGGGCCUCAGUCCUACAUUGAAGCCCUCCCUAACAUUCAAGGCUACUAUCGCCAGUACCGCCAGGAGCCAGUCAGCUUCGGCAACAUAGGUUUUGGAACUCCCUACUACUACGUGGGCUGGUAUGAGUGUGGGGUCUCCAUCCCAGGGAAGUGGUAACUGCAGGAAGAUCAUGCCGGAAGCUUGCCCUGCCGACCCCAUUGUUCACUUGAGUGAGGGCCUGCGAGCAGGAAAAGAGGCAGUGUCCCAAGCCCCCUGCUGUCCCCAGUGUCAGCAAGGCCACACAGUGGACACUGGACACUUCAGGCGUCUUCAGUCUGGAGCUCAGUCCUACAUCUCGGCCUGGACCACACACCGGCUUCA